GGACGACCAGCCACACUGGAACUGAGACACGGUCCAGACACCUACGGGUGGCAGCAGUCGAGAAUUUUUCACAAUGGGCGAAAGCCUGAUUGAGCGACGCCGCGUGGGGGAUGAAUGGCUUCGGCCCGUAAACCCCUGUCAUUUGUGACCAAGGCUUUUGGUUGAACAUUCCAAGAGAUUGAUGGUAGCGAGAGGAAGGGACGGCUAACUCUGUGCCAGCAGCCGCGGUAAUACAGAGGUCCCGAGCGUUGUUCGGAUUUACUGGGCGUAAAGGGUGCGUAGGCGGUUAGGUAAGUCUGAUGUGAAAUUCCUGGGCUUAACCCAGAAACUGCACUAGAUACUAUCUAGCUAGAGGAUUGGAGGGGGGAUUGGAAUUCUCGGUGUAGCAGUGAAAUGCGUAGAUAUCGAGAGGAACACCAGUGGCGAAGGCGAAUCCCUGGACAAUUCCUGACGCUGAGGCACGAAAGCUAGGGGAGCAAACAGGAUUAGAUACCCUGGUAGUCCUAGCCCUAAACGGUGCACGUUUGCUGUGAGCGGAUUCGACCCCGUUCGUGGCGAAGCUAACGCGUUAAACGUGCCGCCUGGGAAGUACGGUCGCAAGAUUAAAACUCAAAGAAAUUGACGGGGGCCUGCACAAGCGGUGGAGUAUAUGGCUCAAUUCGAUUCAACGCGAAGAACCUUACCUGGCCUUGACAUGUGAGUAGUAGAAGGAUGAAAGUCUGACGAUCCCGCAAGGGAAGCUUACACAGGUGCUGCAUGGCUGUCGUCAGCUCGUGUCGUGAGAUGUUGGGUUAAGUCCCGCAACGAGCGCAACCCCUGUGUCCUGUUGCCACCUGAGCGUAAUAGCUCGGAGCACUCUGGACAGACUGCCUCAUUUAAAUGAGGAGGAAGGUGGGGCUGACGUCAAGUCAGUAUGGCCCUUAUGGCCAGGGCUGCACACGUACUACAAUGCAUGGUACAGAGGGAAGCGAAACCGCAAGGUGGAGCAAAUCCUAGAAAACCAUGCCCAGUUCAGAUUGUCGUCUGCAACUCGACGGCAUGAAGCCGGAGUCGCUAGUAAUGGCGCAUCAGCUACGACGCCGUGAAUACGUUCCCAGGCCCUGUACACACCGCCCGUCACAUCAUGAAAGCCGGCCGUACCCGAAGUCGCUGUGCCAACCGCAAGGGGGCAGGCGCCGAAGGUAUGACUGGUGAUUGGGAUGGAGUCGGAACAAGGUA
rnacentral:rRNA from 1 species